rnacentral:miRNA from 2 species
CAGUUAUCAUGGUACCGGUGCUGU